rnacentral:rRNA from 1 species
GAUGAACGCUAGCUACAGGCUUAACACAUGCAAGUCGAGGGGCAUCAGGAAGAAAGCUUGCUUUCUUUGCUGGCGACCGGCGCACGGGUGAGUAACACGUAUCCAACCUGCCCUUUACUCGGGGAUAGCCUUUCGAAAGAAAGAUUAAUACCCGAUAGUAUAAUGAUUCCGCAUGGUUUGAUUAUUAAAGGAUUCCGGUAAAGGAUGGGGAUGCGUUCCAUUAGGUUGUUGGUGAGGUAACGGCUCACCAAGCCUUCGAUGGAUAGGGGUUCUGAGAGGAAGGUCCCCCACAUUGGAACUGAGACACGGUCCAAACUCCUACGGGAGGCAGCAGUGAGGAAUAUUGGUCAAUGGGCGGUAGCCUGAACCAGCCAAGUAGCGUGAAGGAUGAAGGCUCUAUGGGUCGUAAACUUCUUUUAUAUAAGAAUAAAGUGCAGUAUGUAUACUGUUUUGUAUGUAUUAUAUGAAUAAGGAUCGGCUAACUCCGUGCCAGCAGCCGCGGUAAUACGGAGGAUCCGAGCGUUAUCCGGAUUUAUUGGGUUUAAAGGGAGCGUAGGUGGACUGGUAAGUCAGUUGUGAAAGUUUGCGGCUCAACCGUAAAAUUGCAGUUGAUACUGUCAGUCUUGAGUACAGUAGAGGUGGGCGGAAUUCGUGGUGUAGCGGUGAAAUGCUUAGAUAUCACGAAGAACUCCGAUUGCGAAGGCAGCUCACUGGACUGCAACUGACACUGAUGCUCGAACGUGUGGGUAUCAAACAGGAUUAGAUACCCUGGUAGUCCACACAGUAAACGAUGAAUACUCGCUGCUUGCGAUAUACAGUAAGCGGCCAAGCGAAAGCAUUAAGUAUUCCACCUGGGGAGUACGCCGGCAACGGUGAAACUCAAAGGAAUUGACGGGGGCCCGCACAAGCGGAGGAACAUGUGGUUUAAUUCGAUGAUACGCGAGGAACCUUACCCGGGCUUAAAUUGCAGUGGAAUGAUGUGGAAACAUGUCAGUGAGCAAUCACCGCUGUGAAGGUGCUGCAUGGUUGUCGUCAGCUCGUGCCGUGAGGUGUCGGCUUAAGUGCCAUAACGAGCGCAACCCUUAUCUUUAGUUACUAACAGGUUAUGCUGAGGACUCUAGAGAGACUGCCGUCGUAAGAUGUGAGGAAGGUGGGGAUGACGUCAAAUCAGCACGGCCCUUACGUCCGGGGCUACACACGUGUUCCAAUGGGGGGUACAGAAGGCAGCUAGCGGGUGCCCGUAUGUUAAUCCCAAAUUCCUUUUUCAGUUCGAAUGGAAGUUUGCAACCGGACUUCGUGAAGCGGGAUUCGCUAGUAAUCGGGCUUCAGCCACGGCGCGGUGAAUACGUUCCCGGCCCU